CCUACGGGAGGCUGCAGUGGGGAAUUUUGCGCAAUGCUCGUAAGAGUGAUGCAGCGACGCCGCGUGAAUGACGAAGGCCUUCGGGUCGUAAAGCUCUUUCGACAGGGAAGAAAAUGCCUAUAAGUAACUGUGUAUGUAUUGACGGUACCUGUAUAAGCAGCCCCGGCUAACUCCGUGCCAGCAGCCGCGGUAAUACGGAGGGGGCGAGCGUUGUUCGGAUUGACUGGGCGUAAAGGGCACGUAGGCGGUGUUGUAAGUCAUUAGUCAAAGACUAGAGCUCAACUUUAGUAAGGCUAGUGAUACUGUAAUACUAGAGUAUCAGAGAGGAUUGCAGAAUUCCUGGUGUAGCGGUGAAAUGCGUAGAUAUCAGGAGGAAUACCGGUAGCGAAGGCGGCCAUCUGGCUGGAAACUGACGCUGAGGUGCGAAAGCGUGGGUAGCAAACAGGAUUAGAUACCCUGGUAGUC
rnacentral:rRNA from 1 species